UACGUAGGGGGCUAGCGUUGUCCGGAAUCAUUGGGCGUAAAGAGCGUGUAGGCGGCCAGGUAGGUCUGCUGUGAAAACUCGAGGCUCAACCUCGAGACGCCGGCGGAAACCAUCUGGCUAGAGUCCGGAAGAGGAGAGUGGAAUUCCUGGUGUAGCGGUGAAAUGCGCAGAUAUCAGGAAGAACACCCGUGGCGAAGGCGGCUCUCUGGGACGGUACUGACGCUGAGACGCGAAAGCGUGGGGAGCGAACAGG
rnacentral:rRNA from 1 species